rnacentral:pre_miRNA from 1 species
AUUAGCCUGCGGGGUCGCGGGAAAGCUGCGGGGUCGCCGGAAAUUUCCGGCGACCCAGCAGCUUUCCCGCGACUUCGGCGUAUCCG